UCAAGUACUAGCCUCCAGGUGGGGUCCUGGU
rnacentral:piRNA from 1 species